GACGAACGCUGGCGGCGUGCUUAACACAUGCAAGUCGAACGGAAAGGCCCCUUCGGGGGUACUCGAGUGGCGAACGGGUGAGUAACACGUGAGUAACCUGCCCUUGACUUCGGGAUAACUUCAGGAAACUGGGGCUAAUACCGGAUAGGAAUCCUUGCUGCAUGGUGGGGGUUGGAAAGCUUCGGCGGUUUUGGAUGGACUCGCGGCUUAUCAGCUUGUUGGUGGGGUAGUGGCUUACCAAGGCUUUGACGGGUAGCCGGCCUGAGAGGGCGACCGGCCACAUUGGGACUGGGAUACGGCCCAGACUCCUACGGGGGGCAGCAGUGGGGAAUAUUGCACAAUGGGCGGAAGCCUGAUGCAGCAACGCCGCGUGCGGGAUGACGGCCUUCGGGUUGGAAACCGCUUUCAGCAGGGGCGAAGCUUGUGGUGACGGUACCUGCAGAAGAAGCACCGGCUAACUACGUG
rnacentral:rRNA from 1 species